AGAUUGAACGCUGGCGGCAGGCCUAACACAUGCAAGUCGAGCGGUAGAGAGGUGCUUGCAUCUCUUGAGAGCGGCGGACGGGUGAGUAAUGCCUAGGAAUCUGCCUAGUGGUGGGGGAUAACGUUCGGAAACUUACGCUAAUACCGCAUACGCCCUUUGGGGGAAAGCCGGGGAUCGCAAGACCUGGCGCGGAUAGAUGAGCCGAUGUCGGAUUAGCUAGUUGGUGAGGUAAUGGCUCACCAAGGCGACGAUCCGUAGCUGGUCUGAGAGGAUGAUCAGCCACACGUGGGACUGAGACACGG
rnacentral:rRNA from 1 species